rnacentral:rRNA from 1 species
UACGUAGGGGGCAAGCGUUGUCCGGAAUCAUUGGGCGUAAAGCGCGUGUAGGCGGCUCGAUAAGUCUGCUGUGAAAGUCCAAGGCUCAACCUUGGGAUGCCGGUGGAUACUGUCGAGCUCGAGUCCGGAAGGGGAGUGUGGAAUUCCUGGUGUAGCGGUGAAAUGCGCAGAUAUCAGGAGGAACACCAAUGGCGAAGGCAGCACUCUGGGACGUGACUGACGCUGAGACGCGAAAGCGUGGGGAGCAAACAGG